rnacentral:rRNA from 1 species
GAUGAACGCUGGCGGCGUGCCUAAUACAUGCAAGUCGAGCGAACGGACGAGAAGCUUGCUUCUCUGAUGUUAGCGGCGGACGGGUGAGUAACACGUGGAUACCCUACCUAUAAGACUGGGAUAACUUCGGAAAACCGGAGCUAAUACCGGAUAAUAUUUUGAACCGAAUGGUUCAAAAGUGAAAGACGGUCUUGCUGUCACUUAUAGAUGGAUCCGCGCUGCAUUAGCUAGUUGGUAAGGUAACGGCUUACAAAGGCAACGAUGCAUAGCCGACCUGAGAGGGUGAUCGGCCACACUGGAACUGAGACACGGUCCAGACUCCUACGGGAGGCAGCAGUAGGGAAUCUUCCGCAAUGGGCGAAAGCCUGACGGAGCAACGCCGCGUGAGUGAUGAAGGUCUUCGGAUCGUAAAACUCUGUUAUUAGGGAAGAACAUAUGUGUAAGUAACUGUGCACAUCUUGACGGUACCUAAUCAGAAAGCCACGGCUAACUACGUG